UAGUGGGAAGCUGCAAGCUUCACGUGCUCAACUUUGGCAGAGAACUUUGGCAAAGUUAUCUGUGAUACACCAUGAGCUACUAUUGCGUGUGGGAAGUGGGUGAUUGAACAGUAAGACUCAUGUGCUUUCUACUUCACCAGAAGUCUUCGACAGAAUGCCCAUAAUUUCCGCAAAGCUGAGUGUGCGUGUGACAGGUGCUGCCAAGGCUGGAAAAGUAGGUGCCUCUUCGAUUUCUGAGAUCGGCCCUCGUGGUCUCUGAGCAGCCCAACUUUUGAGAAAGCAAGCGCCUCUUCGAUUUCUGAGAUCGGCCUUCGUGGUCUUUGAGCAGCCCAACUUUUGAGAAAGCAGACGCCUCUUCGAUUUCUGAGAUCGACCCUCGUGGUCUCUGAGCAGCCCAGCUUUUGAGAAAGCAAACGCCUCUUCGAUUUCUGAGCAGGCGCCUCUUCGAUUUCUGAAGCUCCGUCGAGUGCAGAUUUUUAUAGGGGCUGGCAUUAAGUUCCAAAGCACACUUGAAUCUCCACCAGUAGAAGCUCCAUUCUUGCACUUCUAAGAUCUUGAUUUGUUCCGACCUCUUCUCUCUUCAACACCUUUGAAAAUGUCUGGCCCCUCCGACCGUCGUUUUGACUUUGAACCUUGUUGAAGAGGCAGCCCCGCCUUCUCCAGACAACAUAUGGCGCCCAUCCUUCGUCUCCCCUACUGGUCCUCUUACCGUUGGGGAUUCCGUGAUGAAGAAUGAUAUGACCGCUGCGGUGGUGGCCAGGAACCUUCUCACUCCCAAAGAUAACAGACUACUUUCCAAACGGUCUGAUGAGUUAGCUGUUAAGGAUUCUCUGGCUCUCAGUGUUCAGUGUGCAGGUUCUGUGUCUAAUAUGGCCCAACGCCUAUUUGCUCGAACCCGCCAAGUUGAAUCAUUGGCGGCUGAAGUGAUGAGUCUCAAACAGGAGAUUAGAGGGCUCAAGCAUGAGAAUAAACAGUUGCACCGUCUCGCACAUGACUAUGCUACAAACAUGAAGAGGAAGCUUGGACCAGAUGAAGGAAUCUGAUGGUCAGGUUUUACUUGAUCAUCAGAGAUUUGUGGGUUUGUUCCAAAGGCAUUUAUUGCCUUCGUCUUCUGGGGCUGUACCGCGUAAUGAAGCUCCAAAUGAUCAACCUCUGAUGCCUCCUCCUUCUAGGGUUCUGUCCAGUACUGAGGCUCCGAAUGAUCCCCCUCCGGUGCCUUCUCUUUCUGGGGCUCUACCGACUGCUGAGACUUCUCCUAAGCAACCUUUGUGAAGGCUCCCUCUUGUUUGUUUAUUUUGACUCAUGUAUAUGUACAUAUUUGUAGCUUAUCGGGGAUAUCAAUAAAUAAGCUUUCCUUCAUUUCAACGUAUUGUGUUAAAUACACCAAAGCCUUCUUCGCUAAGUUCUUUGAAUUUUCUUUUUGUUGGAGCUUUGUGAGUGGAGCAUGUAGGUUGAGGUAGUGUUCCCUUAAUUUCCUGAGUGAGGAAAACUUCUCGGUUGGAGACUUGGAAAAUCCAAGUCACUGAGUGGGAUCGGCUACAUGAAUCUUAGAACGCCAUUGUGCUCGGUCCUGUGUCAUGUCCUUCGUUAGAUCCAAGUACUCUAAGUCUUUUCUUAGAGUCUCUUCCAAAGUUUUCCUAGGUCUUCCUCUACCCCUUCGGCCCUGAACCUCUGUCCCAUAGUCGCAUCUUCUAAUCGGAGCGUCAGUAGGCCUUCUUUGCACAUGUCCAAACCACCGUAACCGAUUUUCUCUCAUCUUUCCUUCAAUUUCGGCUACUCCUACUUUACCCCGGAUAUCCUCAUUCCUAAUCUUAUCAUUUCUCGUGUGCCCACACACAUCCAACGAAGCAUCCUCAUCUCCGCUACACCCAUUUUGUGUACGUGUUGAUGCUUCACCGCCCAACAUUCUGUGCCAUACAGCAUCGCCGGCCUUAUUGCCGUCCUAUAAAAUUUUCCCUUGAGCUUCAGUGGCAUACGGCGGUCACACAACACGCCGGAUGCACUCUUCCACUUCAUCCAUCCAGCUUGUAUUCUAUGGUUGAGAUCUCCAUCUAAUUCUCCGUUCUUUUGCAAGAUAGAUCCUAGGUAACGAAAACGAUCGCUCUUUGGUAUUUCUUGAUCACCGAUCCUCACCCCUAACUCGUUUUGGCCUCCAUUUGCACUGAACUUGCACUCCAUAUAUUCUGUCUUUGAUCGGCUUAGGCGAAGACCUUUAGAUUCCAACACUUCUUUCCAAAGGUUAAGCUUUGCAUUUACCCCUUCCUGAGUUUCAUCUAUCAACACUAUAUCGUCUGCGAAAAGCAUACACCAAGGAAUAUCAUCUUGAAUAUGUCCUGUUAACUCAUCCAUUACCAACGCAAAAAAGGUAAGGACUUAAGGAUGAGCCUUGAUGUAAUCCUACAGUUAUGGGAAAGCUUUCAGUUUGUCCUUCAUGAGUUCUUACGGCAGUCUUUGCUCCUUCAUACAUAUCCUUUAUAGCUUGGAUAUAUGCUACUCGUACUCCUUUCUUCUCUAAAAUCCUCCAAAGAAUGUCUCUUGGGACCCUAUCGUACGCUUUCUCCAAAUCUAUAAAGACCAUGUGUAAAUCCUUUUUCCCAUCUCUAUAUCUUUCCAUCAAUCUUCGUAAGAGAUAGAUUGCCUCCAUGGUUGAGCGCCCUGGCAUGAACCCGAAUUGGUUGUCCGAAACCCGUGUCUCUUGCCUCAAUCUAUGCUCAAUGACUCUCUCCCAGAGCUUCAUUGUAUGACUCCAAAUAUCACUUGUAUAAAAAUAAAAAUACAAAAUAAAAUAAAAUUAAAAAAAAAAGAAAAAAAAAAGAAAGAGACAGUUUGUUUCCAGGUUGUGGAUAUUCCAUUAAGUGAACAAUCAAUCUCACCAGACUGAAUCAAUAAUUCAUCAAGGUCAUGAAACAUAAUGGAAAAUUAAAAUUAUUAAACCAUGUGUGGAUGUCCUAUAUGCCUAUAUGCAUCAGGCAACGUAAACAAAAAUUUAUCUCAGAAAUCCAUAGAAGUUAAAAAAGGAAAUGGGAAAAAAGUUACAGAAGUAGUUUCAAGUUGAUGUGCCGCAGAUCCUUCCAGCUUUGCAGGGUAAUCCAAGUCUUCAUCCAGAGGAAAAUAAUUUGCUAUCUGGAAAAAAAACAAGAGAGAGGUUUUAAGACAUUUAAAAAGGAAAAAGUGGUAGCUAGUCAAGAAAACAAGAUUAACUGGAAAAUUAAGAAAAAAAGGUAACAACUCAACAAACAAUGAGAACUCUCAGGAAUAGAAGUCACCUCAUCACGAAUAUGUGUUCGAGCACGGAAAGUUAACCGCUCAUGAACAUCGGCAAGAAUUCUCUCUAAUGUAGGACGUAGACCAGCUAAUGAUUCAGUCCUCCGACUUAACUGUUCACCUAGGACUUCAGCUUUCAAUAUAUCAACAAGUUCACAAAGAAAAUCAACAUUUGUUUCAUGAAUAAGUUUUGGCCGCAGUGUAUCAUAUAAAUAUGUAGACCUGCAUGAAUUAUCACCAAAAGGAGGUUAUUAUAUAGUUUAAAGUGUGCAUAAACCAAUCAACCAGCCAACCUCCAUACUACAAUGUAACAGCUUAACAAGGAAUGAAGUGGAAAGGACCAAACCAAUCAAGCUUCAUUCACUUUUGGCACAUGUAGUUUAAAAGAGAUUGCCUAACCCAUUAUUACAUGUCAGCCUCUCAAGAAAGCAGAAAACGAGAGAAAAGAACUGAAAACAAAAAAUAUAAUGGGACCUACAUAGGAUCUAUCAAUGGAGCCAAACUUGAAACGUCCUCUGCAGAAGAUGGAAAAAAAUGAACAAAAAGUUGGUGCUCUAGCUGGCAGACCUGCAAUAAAUAGUGGUUUCAAUUACAAUGGAAACUUUGCUGUCCUACAACAUAAAUGUUCACAAUGUAUGCAGCUCAAAUUCAUACAUGAGAAUAAGUUGCAUAUCACAUUACAUCAAGCAUCAAAGAUACUGCCCGCUAUCAUUAAAGAGGUCAGGGCCAAUCACCCCAUCCUCACCUUAUAUUCAAUGAUAGACAAAUCUUUCGCUUGUAUUUGUUUUUAAGGAGUCUUUCCUCAAUGAACGUCCUUGCAACAUUUAUAUCUUACCUGCAUUAGAUAUGCACAUCCAGAUCUAGUCAGUGAUGGCAAGGCCUCUUUCUUCGCGAAUUCGGAUAUUCGUUGAUGUACUAUACCUCUUACCUGAAAAUGCAUUAAAAAGGUGGAUUGAUUACAAGUCAUAAAAUGAAGGAAUGAAUUAGUACGGUAAACAACUAAUGAUCCUUUUCAAAAUAAAAAAAAUUUCAUCAGCUCACCAACGAAAGUCUCUGUUCACAGUAUAGUUUGUGGCAUUCUGUAAGGAUCUGAGUAUAUUCUUUCCUUGAUGCUCUGCUUUCAAUUUCCUCCAGCACUGGCUUAAGCUGCAAGGACUCUACUUGUUAGACAUCAAAACAAACAAGUGUGAAGUUAAAAACCAAAAGAACAGCGUUGCACACCAGCAUUCAAAAAGUAGGGUAGAACUUAAAAUGUUUUCCAGACACAUCUUGCUUUCAACUUUUCACACCCUGGCUGGUUAAAUGCAUUAAUCAAAUUAAUAGCAUCAUUAAUGUUACCUCACUUGCUGCUGCCUUGAAACGGACAUAUAUAACCGAUGCUUCUACACCCUCAGAAACAGAUGUGUUAUUGCCACCACUGCUCCGGAUAGCUGCUUGUACCUGAUGCAAGACAGUGUCCAUAAUUCAAAGCCAAGUAAUAUACAUUAAUGCAUAUUAAGACAGAAGUCUACUACGACGUGUUAAUGGUAAUUCAGUUCAACAAGUUAACAUUACCUGAGAAGAAGCACCUUUGAGAACUGAAAGUACAUGAGAACGAAUCAUUCCCAAGGCUCGAGACUGUACAAAACAAGUAAAUUAUAUAUUAUUGAAGGUCAAAUUAAUCUUACUGGAAGACAAUCUCUGUUCUAUACUAUUCACCUAAUCAACGCUCUUGCAAAUUAUACCUGCAAUUGUCGAAAUUUGAGCAGGUAAACACUGGAUUCUGCAUACUGUGGAUUGCUUUCGACGUACCUAAAGUAUGCACAAAUUGUUUGAAACCAGUAAGUUCUAUCCAACAAAUAUAUCUUUAUCAAAUGCUUAAUGCUUCCUAGUAUGAAUUACAAACUUCCAAGGAUUUUAACUGAAUAGUGUCUGAAGCAUAGAAUUGCACACAGUUACUAACAAAGAAGGUAGAGAACUUACGAUAUGCACUCAUCAAGGCGUUUGAGAAGAGGGAGAAAGUUCUCGUGCAGAACAUUCAUGUUUGGAGAAUAAAAAUUGGUAGUAAUCUGCACACAGUUGAAAAAUUAAACAUGAAUUAUAUAUAACAUACUAAUAGGAUGAAUAUAUAAAUAUAUUAAGUGGUUUGUAUUACAUACACAAUUUGUGCAUCGUGAUAUUUUCUCACGCAUCCGAACAAAAAAAAGAAGGUAACAUCCUUGGCACAAAGCUUCAAAGUAUAUUAACUUCAAUGUAACACUAAGUAAUGCCUGAUAAGGAGAAUUCAUACUAAGGAGAAACUGACUCAGGCAGAUUUUUUAAAACUUAAAAAGCUUUGGAAAAAGAAUCAAUUAAAUUGUUAGUUCAAAAAUAAAAGUUUAUCCAAGCUGCUAUGCAUACCACAUAUAUUUAACAAAACCACAACGUCAGCAAACAAAAUAUCUCUAGGUAAGGUAGAUUCAAACCUUACAUUCUCCAAUUCAUCAAAGUAGUUGAGCUUACUACGGAGUGCUUCUGAAAACUCAAUCAGCCGUUGUUUCUCUAUUAACUGCAAAUGAAAAAUGAGGAGACAUCAAGUUUUAAAUAUGUUUCCAGGCCCCCACAACCAUGAAUUAAACUGACACCAAGAAAGUGGACGAAAUAAAAGGGGUAACAUUAGAAAGAAAGUCCCACCAGUCUAUCGCAAGCAUCGUGAAGAGUUCUAGUCUUUGUUGCUACUGCUUGAUGCUGGUUCUGUAGUUCAUUAAACAACUCUAGGGUGUCAGCCACCUGCACAGAAAGGAACCAACUAUUUCAAACAAGCACAACAACUUAAAACAAAGAUGGCUUCAACGAUACCGAUAGACAUAUCGCCAUUACCUGACCGAGUAUGCCAUCACAUGUCUGAAUGCGUUCUGUCAAAGUGUCUACAUAGUGUCGAUACUUCUCCUCUGUCUAAAAUGUGAAAAAUUUAUGUGCAAUGAGCUUAUAUUUACACUUAAUUACAACAUAAGUUUGCUGCAAGAAUCGAUUACCAACCUCCGACUUCAAUGCUGCUUCAAGAUCUGUAAACCAUUUGUAAAACUACAAGUAGCAAAAGCUAAUUCAGUGAGAAAGCCAUCGAAUUGUAAUAGAUAACGGAAUGUGAUGGCGAAAAUGUACCUGAUUCGUAUUGACAAGAACAGCUUCAAUGGCAGCGGAGUGUUCCAAGCCGAAAGUGCUGUCCUUGGUGGAGACAGUUAGGCCAUUCUGGUGGCCUGUGGUGCCGUCCUGAGCCAAAUUGGGUGGGAACGGCCGCUCUGCAACGCAAUGCGAGAGCGUUGUAAUGGCCGCUUGCUGCUGCUCUGAUAACGGAGUUUUCUGCAGAGGAAAGAAAGCAAUACAUCAAAAUUCAUAUCGAGAGGAUCCGAUCCGAUCCGAAAGCAAGCUAAUUGCAAUAAAGUGGAGAAAAUUGCAGAAAACUCAGAUGUAGACGAAAAAGGAGUUGUUUCAAUGGAAAAACUGAAUCUAGGGCAACGAGGAGGAGAAAGAAAAAGAAGAAGAAGCACCUGUUCCCAGUGAGAUGCGAAGUUGUAGCCCUUGGAAAUGGCUCCAGAUUUCGGAACGCCGGGUUUGGUUGCCGCCAUUUCUCAAUCCUCUUCAACUCACAACAAAGUCGGUUCAUACAACGGUUGCAGUCGCCGUCGUCGUCAUCCACAAUUCGCCUCCUCUCCUCCGCCCUCUUUUCUCUCAGUCGAGUUUUUUCUCAGUCCUUCGCUCUCUCUUUCAACGAUAAAGAUUUAAACGCAAAGCAUUUAUGUUGGGUAGAACAAGACGACGUCGUCUUCGAGUUGGAAACAGUUGGUGCGAGCUCGCUUGUUUUUUUUGUCCGUCCCUUCACUUUUAUCCGCGUCAUUAUUUAAAGAUUAAAUUAUUUUACAUGUCAGCAUAUCGUAAUUUUAAAAUUGGAAAACAUAUUAUUAAUUUUUAAUAUUUUUUAAAAAAUAUUUUUCAUAUAUUUUAUUUUUAAUUUGUAUCCAUUUUUUAAGUCUGACUAAUAUUCUUUUUAGUUUUAACUAGAUAAAAUGCUCGCGCGUUGCUGCGGGACUUGAAUGCACGAAUCUUAACCACAUGAAUUAAACACAUGUAACUUGAAAAAAAAUUCAACAUAAUCAUGAACGAAAAAAAAAAGAUAGAUGAGUGAACGGUAUCAGUAAGAUAAGUAGUUCCGCUUUUACAUACAUUCAACCAAGCUGAUUACAAAAGAUAUGAUUGGAAAAAAUGCUCUGUUUCCUAACAAACAGGAGCAACAUGCAUUUAACACAUAUAGGGCACGUUUGUUUGACAGGAUUCGCUGGGACUGGACUGGACUAGACUAUAGUCCAGUGUUUGGUGGGUACCGGGAUUAGCUUUAAUGAGCUUAGGUGGGAUUCGCUAGGACUAAGGGGGGGCUUAGCCGUUCUUCACGAGGGAUCCCAAAUUCGGGCGGACUCGUAAGCCAGAGAAACCGCGUCUUCCCACAUCUCACAUCCCACAUCGUCCUCAUCUCUGCGUCUGCCCUCGUCGUCGUCCUUGCCGUGCUCCCACAUCGUCCUCACGCUCAUCGUCGUCCUUGCAUCUGGUCGCUGUCAUCUGCCUCUAGUCGGUAAGCUUCGAAUCUUGGAUUUUUUUUCGUCGAUUUGUGUGGAUUUGUUUGUGAUAUUAACUGAGGUUUAUUUGAUUUUGUUGUUUUGGGUUUGAGAAAUUCAUAAUAUACAAGUGGAUUUGCAAUUGAACAAAUUAGGGUUUUGUUAUUUAGGUGAAAUUGAGAUUAGAAUUUGGGGUUUUCAUAAGAUGAAAUUGAGAUUAGUCUCAGGUGUAUGCUCUCUGUGUGUGUGUUUUGUGUGUUACUGAAAAAAAAUUUGUCUGUGUGUUUUGUGUGUGUGUGUGAGUGUGUUUGUGUGUGUGUGUGUGUAUGUAAUCUGUGUAACCUGUGUAAUAUCUGUGUGUGUGUGAGUUGUGUGUGUAAAAUGUGUGUGUAAUCUAUCCGUGUGUGUGUGUGUAACCUGUGUUAUUUGCAGUGUGUGUGUGUGAGUUGUGUGUGUAAAAUGUGUGUGUAAUAUGUCCGUGUGUGUGUGUGUAAUCUGUUUUUGUGUGUAUGUGUGUGAGUUGUGUGUGUAAAAUGUGUGUGUGAGUUGUGUGUGUAAAAUGUGUGUGUGAGUGUGAGUGUGAGUGUAAGUGUUUGUGUGUGUGUGUGUGUUUGUGUGUGAGUGUGAGUGUAAGUGUGAGUGUGAGUGUGUGUGAGUGUGAGUGUGUGUGCAGUGUGUGUGUGUAUGCAGUGUGUGUGUGUGUGCAGUGUGUGUGUGAGUGUGUAUGCAGUUUGUGUGUGUGUGUGUGCAGUGUGUGUGUGAGUGUGUAUGCAGUGUGUGAGUGUGAGUGUGUGUGAGUGUGAGUGUGUGUGCAGUGUGUGUGUGUAUGUAGUGUGUGUGUGUGUGCAGUUUGUGUGUGUGUGCAGUUUGUGUGUGUAUGCAGUGUGUGUGUGUGCAGUUUGUGUGUGUGUGCAAUUUGUGUGUGUAUGCAGUGUGUGUGUGCAGUUUGUGUGUGUGUGUAUGUGUGUGUCCAGUGUGUGUGUGUGUGUGACUGUGUUCAGUGUGUAUGCAGUGUGUGUGUGCAGUUUGUGUGUGUGUGUGUAUGUAUGUAGUAUGUAUGCAGUGUGUGUGUGUAUGUAUGCAGUAUGUAUGCAGUGUGUGUGUAAGUGUGAGUGUGAGUGUGAGUGUGAGUGUGAGUGUGAGUGUAAGUGUGCAGUGUGUGUGUGUGUUUGUGUGUGAGUGUGAGUGUAAGUGUGAGUGUGAGUGUGUGUGAGUGUGAGUGUGUGUGCAGUGUGUGUGUGUGUGUAUGCAGUGUGUGUGUGUGUGUGUGUGCAGUGUGUGUGUGUGAGUGUGUAUGCAGUUUGUGUGUGUGUGUGCAGUGUGUGUGUGAGUGUGUAUGUAGUGUGUGCAGUGUGUGUGUGUGUCUAUGCAGUGUGUGCAGUGUGUGUGUGUGCGCAGUGUGUGUGUGUGUGUGUAUGUAUGCAGUAUGUAUGCAGUGUGUGUGUGUGUGUGUGUGUGUGUGUGUGUGUGUGUGUGUGCAGUGUGUGUGUGUGUGUGCAGUGUGUGUGUAUGCAAGUAUGUAUGCAGUGUGUGUGUGUGAGUAUAAAAACAGAGUGUGUGUGUGAGGGUAAGAGUUUGUUGCACUCUGUCCCCGUGUGUGUGUGUGUGUCACUGUGUUCAGUGUGUGAGUGUGAGUGUGUGUGAGUGUGAGUGUGUGUGCAGUGUGUGUGUGUGUGUAUGUAGUGUGUGUGUGUGUGCAGUUUGUGUGUGUGUGCAGUUUGUGUGUGUAUGCAGUGUGUGUGUGUGCAGUUUGUGUGUGUGUGCAAUUUGUGUGUGUAUGCAGUGUGUGUGUGCAGUUUGUGUGUGUGUGUAUAUAUGCAGUGUGUGUAUGUGUGUGUCCAGUGUGUGUGUGUGUGUGACUGUGUUUAGUGUGUGAGUGUGAGUGUGUGUGUGUGUAUGCAGUGUGUGUGUGUGUGUGCAGUGUGUGUGUGAGUGUGUAUGCAGUUUGUGUGUGUGUGUGCAGUUUGUGUGUGAGUGUGUAUGCAAUGUGUGUGUGUCUAUGCAGUGUGUGCAGUGUGUGUGUGUCUAUGCAGUGUGUGCAGUGUGUGUGUGUGUGCGCAGUGUGUGUGUGUGUGUAUAUAUGCAGUGUGUGAGUGUGAGUGUGUGUGUGUGCAGUGUGUGUGUAAGUGUGAGUGUGUGUGUAUGUAUGCAGUGUGUGUGUGUGUAUGUAUGUAGUAUGUAUGCAGUGUAUGUGUAUGUAUGCAGUAUGUAUGCAGUGUGUGUAAGUGUGAGUGUGUGUGUAUGUAUGCAGUGGUGUGUGUGUAUAUGUAUGCAGUGUGUGUGUGUAUGCAGUAUGUAUGCAGUGUGUGUGUGUGUGCAGUGUGUGAGUGUGAGUGUGUGUGUGUGCAGUGUGUAUGCAGGGUGUGUGUGUAGUGUAUGCAGUGUGUGUGUAAGUGUAGUGUAUGUAGUGUGUGUGUGUGUUUGUGUACUGUGUAUGCAGUGUGUAUGUAUGCAGGGUGUAUGCAGGGUGUAUGCAGUGUGUGUAUGUAUGUAUGCACUGUGUGUGUACUUGCAGGGUGUGUGUGUGUAGUGUAUGCAGUGUAUGUGUGUAGUGUAUGUAGUGUGUGUAGUGUAUGCAGUGUAUGUAGUGUGUGUAUGUAUGUACUGUGUUUGCAGUGUGUAUGUAUGUACUGUGUAUACAAUGUGAAUGUUUUGUAUUGUGUGGGGUUGAUGCUGAAUUGCAAUUUGUUGUGGUUGUUGGUUGCAGAGAAGAGGAGCAUAAACGGAAGGCUAAGGCUAAGGCUACUGCAUUACAGGUGUCCUUUAAUUUCCCUUUUCACAUGCAAUGCCUAGCAAUGAUAGCAAUCCUCAUACUAGUGUUCUUAGACACAUGUUUAUAGAUGUAUAAGAGUAGAACAUUUUGAAUAUGAUGCCUCGGGUUAAUGAAAACUUUUUUUUUUUCAACGCCAUAUGUAUAUUUGUUGCCUCGGGUUAAUGAUUUAGUUAAUUUGUUUUUUUUGUUUUUUUUUUUGUUUGGAUAGAUAUGGAUCGAAGGAAGCUUUUAUUGAUCUUAUUGUUAGAGAUGUCUUAUUUGGAAACAAUUUGUAUUUGUACGAUUCUUGUGGUGAUGAUGCUACGUGGCAAACAGAGACAUGUUGAACGACCCACAUUGACUAACCGUUCACUUAUUAGACGAGAGAUUAGUUUGUGUUAUCUGAAUGGUAUAAUAGGGAAUACUGAUACUGAAUGUGUUAACGAAUUGAGAAUGGAUAGAAGGACUUUUGGCAUAUUAUGCGACUUACUUCGUCAAGAUGGGAGGGUAAAAACUGAUGGUUUGGUGUCUGUAGAGGAACAGGUGUGUAUGACUUUACAAAUAUUAGCACAUCAUACUAAGAAUCGUAGUGUUGGCGGUAGAUUUUAUAGGUCGGGAGAGACUAUAAGUAGGUAUUUCAAUAGCGUAUUGCAAGGAAUUUUGCGAUUACAAGGUUUCCUACUAAAAGUCCCACAGCCUGUGCCUAUUGAUUCUACAGAUGCUAGGUGGCGAUGUUUUAAGGUAUGAUGAGAAAUAUUUUUCAUUUUCCUUAAGCUUUAACUCUUCAUUCCCUUUGUAUAAAUUAACAAAAAGUUUUUUAUUUUUUAUUUUUAAGAAUUGCUUGGGAGCAUUGGAUGGAACACACAUUGAUGUGCAUGUACCUGAAAUUGACAAACCAAGAUACCGAACAAGAAAGGGUCGAGUCGCAACUAAUGUGUUAGGUGUGUGUUCAGGAGAUAUGCAGUUCAUAUAUGUGUUUCCGGGGUGGGAGGGUUCCGCAUCAGACUCUAGAGUGCUACAUGAUGCAAUUAGUAGGCCUAAUGGUUUUAAGGUACCAGCGGGUAAGAUUAUUACUUAGUCUCAACUUUCUAAGUUAGGUUUAGUUCUGUUUGUCAACUACAAAACACUAAUAAGGUCUGUUUUUUUUUUUUCAUUAGGUUGUUAUUACCUUGUAGAUGGUGGUUAUACAAAUGGUGAAGGAUUCCUUGCACCCUAUAGAGGAAUACCUUAUCAUUUAUCUGAAUGGGAGGGACGAACACCUUCUAAUAAGGAAGAAUAUUUUAACAUGAAGCAUUCUAAGGCAAGGAAUGUAAUUGAACGCUGUUUUGGCUUGCUAAAAAGGAAGGUGGUCGAUACUAAGGAGUCCAUCUUUCUAUCCGAUAAGGACACAAGGUCGAAUAAUUACCGCUUGUUGCCUACUACACAAUCUUAUUAGGCAAGAGAUGUUAGUAGAUCCAAUGGAGAAUUUGCCAAUAAUAGAAGAUGGACAAAAUACAGAAGAAGGUGAAUAUGUUGGUAGUGUUCAAUCAUCGGACCAGUGGACUGCAAUGAGGAAUGAUAUGGCUGAGGAAAUGUAUAAUGAGUGGAGAGCAAUUAGGAACCAGCAACCGAACUAGCUAUAUGUUUUAAUGAUAACAUUUUAUUUUAGUAUUCCUUUUUAUCAUGCAUUUGUUAGAUAUUAGCACAAUGAUUGGAUGGUAUGCAAAUUAAUUGGAUAUUAUGCAAGUUGAUUGGAUAUUAUGCAAGUUGAUUGGAUAUUAUGCAAAUUGAUUAUUUGUAUGGUAUUUUCCUUCAUUAAAAUAUUUUUUGUUUAGGUAUGGAUAACGAAAAUAUUUUGAAUGCUACUCAAGAGCCAAAAGGAAGAAGGCGUAAAUGGGAAGCAUUUGAGGAAGAAGUAUUACUAGGAGUUCUUGAGGAUUUUGUUGCUCGGAAGCAACGGUGUGACACCGGUGCUUUCAAACAAGGUACUUUGGUUGAAAUAGCAAAAGCUGUCAAUGUUUUAUGUCCUCAUUCAAAUAUAAAGGCAAAUCCACAUAUUGAGUCCAAGUUGAAGAAAUGGAAAAAAACAUAUAUAGUAUGGUCGUUGACAUGAUAAACACAAGUGGAUUUGCAUGGAAUGAUGUCAAAAAGUGCGUUGAAGUUGACAGUGAUGACGCAUGGCAAACUUAUGUGCAGGUUCAUAUCCUAUUUUAUUUAUGCAUUAGUUAUAUUCUUGCUCCUAUAUUUGUUACGCAUGCUAAAUUUUAGUUUUGCUAUGUUGAUAUAAUCUUAGAGAAAUAAAGAAGCCGAUGGAUGGAGAAGCAAACCUUUUCCACUGUUUGAUAGAUUUUGCAUAUAUAUUUGGAAAAGAUCGGGCUACGGGUAAUGUAGCCGAAACCCCUGCUCAAAUGGUGGAGGAACAAAGUCAUGAUCAUGUUGGUGAAAGUGAUAUUGGAGGUGAUAAUUUUGUUUCUUCAAUGAACCAACAAAGCCAACAAAGCACCCCAUCUGAAAAUAGCCAAAGAAAGAGAGGAAAAGAGCUGUGGGAAGUUCAAGUGAUGGAACCGAGGCAAUUAUCAGUGGACUGAAAGAUUUUUAUGUUGAAAGUGGGAAGAGGAUGCAAAUGGUAACUGAAGCUUUAGUUCAAGGUACUGCAGAUCAUACUGACAUAGCUAAUGAACUUGAAGCAAUGGGUCUCUCUCCUAUGGAUCAAAUUGAUGCAUUGUCUCUUAUUUUGGAUAAACCAAAAAAUGUGGGAGUGUUCAGGGCAAUCAAACCGGAACUCAAGAAAGUGUUCGUCCAAAGACUUUUAAGAGACAACGCAAGCGGAUGAGGAUUUUGGCUAAUGUUAACAUGGAUGUAUUUUAUUAACGUUAACAUGGAUGUAUUUUAUUAAUCAUACAGUCUUAUGUUAUGACUUAUAACUUAGCUUUGCACUAGUAUUUUGGCUUAUGUUUACUAGCCAUUUUGUAAAUUAUGGAGAGAUCUAUUUUGGCUAAUGUUAACUAAUGUUAACUAGGAUUUUCUAAAUUAUGGAGAUCUUAUGUACUUGUAUUUGUUGAAGUUGCAUGUAUUGGCCACUAUUAUUUUUCUUCUGUUGGGUGAUAGAGUUUAAAUCAAGCUACAUUUGCAAAUUAAACCCAAUUCUAUUAGCAGGUAAUAGAAACAAAACAAUUGUCAAUUUUUUUUAAGAUUCAUAAUAUACAUGGCAAAAAUAUGCUCCAAUUAACCCAUAUCAUGAGAUUUGUAGCAUUACUCUAUUACACAAUGACAAAAAUUUGUAGUCCUAGUCUAAGCAAACACAAAUCUGGUGAACAGUAUUGUUUUUCUUAUCCUGCUUCUUAGUCCGAGACUGCACCAAACGCUUCACUAAGUUAGUCCAGCUUAGUCCAGUCUAAGCCAGUCCAGCUUAGUCCCGGCAGCUAGUCCAGUCCGAGACAGUCCGGCGCAACAAACGCACCCAUAUUGGCCUUGAAGUUAAGAUGGAAAAAUAUAUGUUCUGCAGGCUAGCCUAGAUCCCAUCGAAAAACGCCCCAAAAAAUGCUAAACUUCUUCAUCCAACGGAACUUAUUCUUUCGGCAAAUUACUACGAUUUUCAGAUGAAUGGAUAGUGUGAACCACCAAUUUGUUUCGGUUUACACCUUUACCAUAAACAUGCAAACACAUCCUUGUUUUUUCUAUUUUCACUGUUUUCUUUGUAUUGGGUCCUGGAGCAGUUUCUCUAUAUAUCUUUUUGGUUCCUCGAUUAUUUUCAUUGUUUCGAGCCUCAAUCAGUUUCUUUAAAUUUUUAACCAAAACUCCUCCUAGAAUUUGUUGUUCGCUUCAAUCAAUAUCUUUCACCAUUUUAUCUACCCGGAAUCACAAAUAAAUAUAGUGUCAAUAUUUAUGUUUUUUAGAAAAAUAUGUUUAGCUUGUAGGUCUUAGAAUAACACAGUUAAAAUUUUUAAAAAUUGAAAUAUGGAAAUUGUGAUUUUUUUUGGAAAUAUGUCUGGUUUGUUGAGAGAUUGCAGUUGUUAACGGCACUUAUUAAAGCACUUCAGGGAGGAUGAGACAAUUGACUACCAGAAAAACCUAACAAAAACACCAACCAACCAAAGUAACUGACCUUCAAAGAACGAUUUGGAAAAUUUAGAACGCAAUAAAGAAAGGAAGCAACCAACAAAAAACGUAUAAAACGCCUAAUAACAUUUGAUAAACAAUUAAGAACACUGGGUUAAAUAAGAAUCACAAAGACACCAAGAGACUUUCAAACAAUAACAGAAUUGCAUAGACAAAAUUUAAACCAAAAAAAAGGAAAGAACUAUCGGACCUCUAGACAAUCAGAGAUCACGAAGUUAACCAAGAAUGAGAAACAAAGCAUAGAGCAAACAUAUAAUAUAAGCCAAAAAAAACCAAACAGUCAUUUUAAAAAUUAUAAACUCGCAUUGUUUGAAAUGGAAAGAGUGGGGAAACAACGUAUUGAAGUUCAGGACAUACCAAAGGCUUGAUUGAAACGUAAUGGCUUUGAACCCCUUCAUUAAAGGCAACAACAAGAGCAGAUUAUGAUUCUAUGAUGUGAGCCCGAUCUAAACUGCAAAAAAGAAGUGAGAUUGCAAUUAAGAAUUCGAAAUGCAAACAAACAGAUACAAUAAAAGUAACUUAAAUUGUGACGGUAUAACGGACUCAAUAUGUAAAAGUGCACCAAAUAAAGGGUAAUUCUCAAGACAUUAAACAUAAAAACUAAAACACCCCCAUCUCUUUGCAAAUUUUACAAACAAAAUAGUAAACGUAAUCCUUGAAAUCCAAACAGACCUAAUUUUGAAACCGUUUCUCUUGGACACCCCAUACCAUAGAAAAUGCACCCUAUACCCCAAACAUAAUGCUCAGUGGCUAGAUAGCAAUCUGUGCAGGUUGAUCAAGAUGUCACUAAUUAGUUUUUGCCAACAGAUGGUUAACCAUUUUGCCAUUUUUUUUUUUUUGCAGAAAGUGGACCAUGUUUAACUUUAAAAGAUGAUCUCUAUUUUACCUAGACAAAUUGCAUCACCAAUGUCUUGCCACACAUUCACAAAAAUUAGCAGUGCCGAUUGACAAAUGGACAGACCUGAAUGGUACUAACCGAAGCACAACAAUCCCUAAAGGAAAACAAACAACGAAAUGACUUCAAGAAAAAUCUGUAUCAUUUAUUCAAUGAAGCACCCUAAGUUGGAAAAGAGUAAAAUUUAAAUUGAAAAACAAUAAUCUAACAGAGACAAAUUUAAAAACAAAAAACCAUUAGAAUCUUUACAGAAAUCAAUAAAAAUGGCUGCAAGUUAAAAGUCUUAAAAUUUGAUAUAUGGCUAUAAAUUUUCCUAAUGUUUAUAAUAUCAAUUAAGAAUACACCAAAACUUAAUACACCGUUGUAACAUUUUGCAACUGCCUCACCUAUCUGAAAUGAAAUGAUAGGCUAUAAUGAAAUAAAAGCCCACCAAGUGCAAAUAGAAAUAAACCAUAUAGCUGGGUCUUGUACAUGGUUAGAUCCUUGGUCUCCAGGAAUUAUGCUAAAAGGAAGACUAAUCAAAUGAUUACGCUUAGAACUAUAACGUUAUUUCAAUUUUUAAAAACUAUUAACUGAUUGAAAAACCACACCAUAAAGAACCAGUGGAGAUCAGAAUAACAAUAAAAUACUACAGAGGUAAAUGAACAGCCAUUAAUAUAAUUUUUUUCCUCAGCAUGCCAACAACAAUCAGAAAAAGAAAAGGAGAAAAAUCUAUGGGAUAAAUGUAAAGUCUAUUUGAAAAGUUCAAUAUAUUUGUUUGUCAAACUCAGUGAUCAAACUUCACACUCAUGCUUUUCAAAAAGAAAAGAAAACGAAGAAGUGAAAUCAUUGACAAUUCCAAGAAAUAUAGCAGCUAUUAUUAAGAUCCAAAACGAAUUCUGGAAAGUAUGGGGACCAAAGACUAUUAGAAGUUGGAAAGAUAUGCCGAUGCAGUGGUUUGAGAACAUAGUUUGAGAAACUUUGGGUAGGAAAUAUGCUCGCAAGGAAAACCGACAAUGGGUGAGUAUGACUCUCAAAGCUGGUUUAUGUUUAAAUUACUGAAUCACCAUAAUCGUUGUUGGUUGGUUUUCACUCAUGGUCUACUUUUUAUUCAAGUUCUUGUAAAGAAAAUUAGUCUUUUAACCAAAUGCAUGCCAAUUACAAUUUUUCCUUUUUGGUAAAUAAUACCAACCACAUUUUAUCAUUACUAGAUUCAUAGUGCUUUGAUUAACUUUAUGGGGAGUAGAAUCUCAAUUCAAGCUAAGUAAAGCAAAACCCUCAAUUAAACCCCAACUACAAACCCGAAUUAAACCUUCAAUUAAACUCUUAAUAAAACCCAAAUUAAAUCAGCAAUCAGGAAAGAGAAAAAUACACCCAUUCAAAGUAUUGCAUAACUGAAAAAAACUAUAUUUAUGAGAAAGAUUAAAACCUUUUUACAAAAGACACCUACUGAAAAAGCUCACAUUUGUAAAGACUUGGAGCUCCUGACCUAACAGCACAACAAAAUCCGGAAAUAAUUCACAGCAAAAGGGAAGAAAUGAUGACAAUCUAUGCUAACAGUAGAGAAUCGAAUUAAAAAUUGAACUUAGCUAAAAAACACUUACCCUUCAACGUUCGGAGCCUUAGAAAAAUUUAUGAAGUUCACGCAAAUAUUUUUACGUCUCUAUGCACCUAUCCUGCAAACCAACGAAAAUAGAAAUGCAGAGAAGUGGGAAGACCAGAUGAAAUAAAACCCAAGCCACCACCAACUUAAAUAGAAGAAAUGUGGGGGAAUCCAGCCGUCAAAGAAAAAAAAUACAAUCUCCAGAACAAAUAGAUAAAAACAUAAUAAACGAGCAAAAGCAGCUAAUCAGCACAAAACUAGUAAACUGAUUGGGAGGCCUAAUCGGAAGAUUAAGAGAAAAGAUGAGCAAUUCACUCAAGACGCACAAUAGGGAACCCAACAGAUGCAAAAUACACAAAGAGCAAUCUCGGGCACCCCAAAAUAAAAGCAAAGCACUCCAAGAACCACAUCUAAGCCAAGUAAUGAUUAACAAACACCAAAUAAAACAACCCAUAAUCCAACAACCCACGAAAUCAACGAGUCUAAUAUAAGCAAGCCAGAUGCUAAUUGUCACAAACCCCAUUACCAUAAACAGACGCCACCCGAAGUUCAAAGAUCUAAACAACGUUGAUUGAAUAAAACCUGAGAACCCAAGAACACCCGUCUCUCUAAGCCAACCCCAACAACAUACUAACACUCGAGGAGUUGCAGAAUUAUCAAAACCCUAGAAAUUAACGUACCUCAAUUAAACCCCCUAAAUCUCGAGACACCCACUUCAAUUAUCACACUCAAGCACCAAACCCAAUUAUCAGCCCUACACUUUGUUCGGGCGAAGAUUUCUCCGGAAAGAGCUCCUCGGCUCUUAGCACAACUCCCCAAGGGAUUGGCACUUUGGAUAUAUAGUCGGGCUCUUGCUUGCUGAUGUGCUGCAAGAAGAGGAUAAAGUUAGUUUUGAAAGGUGCCUUUGUAGGGCCUUAGGUGUAUACAUUGAGGCUCGCAAUCAAAACUAAUUGAGUGCUAGGCGUGCCACUGCUAUCUCAGUAUAACAGAUGUAUAAUAAGUGUAUUUAGUCGAUUACUUUCGCCCCAAGUUACUCGGACUUCUUGUUAUCAAAGGAUUGUCGUGGAUGGGUUAAGUCCACAUUAAGUUCUUUUUCUUGCCUUGUGACCAAGGACUUUCAGUUCAUAGUCUUGUAUGUUCAAGUGAGGGGAGUCAAUAUCCCCUUAAGUCACCUACUCGAUUCUUGAUUGGUUUUAAAUGAAGGCAUAUUCAUUAAGGUGACCAAAUCCGGGCACAAAUGAGACUCUUAAAGUAGGAAAACAGAUGGAUAUAACUUGAAUACAUAUUAGAGAAUACAUUAAGCAGUAGAUCUAUUAACUUAUAAGACAAACAAAGAGCUUUGAGCAAGAUUUCACCUUGUCGGGCAAGGUUGAACUUCUUGCAAUCACUUCUCUUUUGAGUUUACAAGGUUUAUAUGCUAAGAAUGGAUGGAUGGUAAACAAGUUUACACGAGAUAAUCGAUGCUACGCCACUAAGGGUGAUAGCAGAGCUUCUAAACUAGACAAAAGAUGGCUUUUGUGGGGGAUGAUCCUGAAAAGGAUUGAGAUCUGGGCUGAUUACAGCUUAUAGAUGCAAAUCUAGCUUGAGAGCAGAGUUUGUAUGUUUGUUUGUUUGAUUGGUUGAGUAUCCUUGUCUCUGAGGCCUCUUCCUCCUUUUAUAGGUAGAUUAGCCCGACUGCAGUAGCUUUACUCUUGCUCGAAAGUUGUUGAAGGGUAGCGAGUCAUCAGCUUUUUACUUGUAUUGCCAUCGAAAAGUGUUUUUUGGCUGAUUGUGAGUUAGUCCCCAUCAUUUGACACUUAAAUCAUAGGCACAUCGCCUAUACAUUAAUCAGAAUGCGCCAACUUGUCUAUGGGCCUGAUACUGAGCUUCAGGCAGGUAUUCCUUUAAUUGGUGUUUUUGGGCUUCCUUAUACUUACAGCCUAAAGUUCAAAUAUUAACCCAAAUAGUGCCCCCUUUAAUCAUUGUUAAGGUUGCAAUCCCAGGAGCUAAUAAUGAUUAAAUAGUCGUCGCUCAUUAAACAACCGUCGCACGCAUCCACUCGGAACUUGUGCCUUUUUAAAGCAACCGUUGGUUUAUCUGAAGCCCUUUGCACUACCCCACGAACUCCUCCGCUAAGUAAUCACUUAUUAUAUAAUUCCUCCUUAAUCUCAUCAGCAAAGUAUUUUAACCACUUCGAGCCUUCGAAUUCUCAGAAACUCCAGUGCGCUCUUAUCUUCGCAGCUCUUCAGUCAUUCCCCCCUUAAUUUCAAAUUUUCUUCUAUCUUCCUCUCAAAGUCCUAAGUGGCACCCAUAGUUGCCCGAAUUCAGUCUCUUCGCGAGAUUGGUGAAGGGAUUUCCACCAUGCACCGUUCUUUUGAUGACCUUCAUUACCCUCGAGCGAGCCUGCAUACUGAAAUCUUCUUUGAGGAGGAAAUAGUGCACUCUUUGGGGCCUGCAUAGACUUCUCAUUUAUUGGCUUUUGCAACAUCCUCAGAAAGGUGCACUACGUCCAGCUUUUGUUUCAAGACUCAUAUGGCUUUUGUGAAUAGCCAGGUAGCCUUAAUCACACCGGUAGAUUCCUCUUAUGAAUAUAAAGCAAUAUUUCCUUGCACUGGUAUCCACAAGCCCAAACUUCCCCAUAGCUUUUGGUUUCUUGAUCACUUUAUCAUCAUAGGUGUAUGCUUCGGGGUCAAUUACCAUGACAAUGUCAAGGACUUUGGUGAGACUUGUGGACGAAGGCUCUGUUAUGGAAGCCAGGAUUACAUAAGUGUCUUCUUCAAUUAAGAGUUUGGAGGAGCAACCAUCUGUACGAAACAACUUUACAAGAAGAAUUGAGGAAGCAAAGAAAGUAAAUGUUGAAGUUGAAGAUGCCGAAGUUCAGUUAGUCAUUCUAGGAUAGCUACCUUAGCCAAUGAUGUAAAACUAUUGUUGAUCCUUAUGUAACUUCAACAUGAAAUAAAAAAAGACUUUCUUAAUCCAUCUUAGCUUGCAUUUCUUCUUUUAAAACUUAACUACGAUGGGCAAAUAAGCUGACUUUAAACCACUUGUAAUGUUUAUACUUCUUCAAUAUAGCAACUCCUAACAUCCCACAAGGUUGGGUGAUAUUUCUUCAAAAACUUGGCAUUAACUGGAUGCUUAUGCGAACUUCCUUCCAAAUCUGCCAAGUAAUAUCCCCUUUUGUCUAGUAUUUGGUUAAUAAUGAAAGGACCCUCCCAAGUCGGACUCCACUUCCCAAAGCCUCUAACUUGAGCUUCUAAAGGCCGAAUUGCCUUCCAUACUAACUCUUAUUUCUUGAAGUUUUUCAAUUUCACCUUUUUAUUGUAUGCUUGGGCAACAGCUCUCUUCCCUUCUUGAAUUUUACCUAGGGCUUCAAUUCGGGCUACAUCUAGAUCUUCUAUUCCUUGACACAUAGCCUGAAUAUAUUCUUCAUUAUGCAACCUAAAUUGAUUUUGAAUCCUAACAGAACCCACAUUUAUCUCCAUGGGGAGCACAUCAUCCUGCCUGAAGGUCAAAGCAUAAGGAGUAGUUCCAGUGCCCUCUUGGAGGUUCUGUAAGCCCAUAAAGUAUCUCCCAACUUCUCAUGCCAUUUUUCUAGACUAUCUGCCACCAUCAUUUUGAUAAUGUUCACCAAGACUUUGUUACUGGCUUCUGUUUGACCAUUUGACUGGGGUAGUAAGGACUAGAUUGGAUCAUCUUAAUCUUGAACUUACUUGCAAAUUCUUCUACUUCCUUUGAAAUAAAAGACGGUCCGCAUUCUAUAACAAUUGUCUUGGGUACCCCAUAUCUGUGUAAGAUCUUGGUUUCAAUGAAGUUCUUGACGGCGGUUGCAGUUAAGGUCUUCACUGUUGAAGCUUCUACCCAUUUGGUGAAGUAGUCUAUUGCCACAAUUAUGAACGUGUGCUCUUUGCUAGAAGUUGGAUGAAUUUGCCCGAUGAACUCCAUUGCCCAUCUUCUGAAGGGCCAAGGCUUGACCAUGGGGUUUAAGGGUAUUGAAGGCACAUGUUAGAGAGGUCCAUGUCUUUGGCAUUCUUCGCACCCUCAGGCAUAAACUUUGCAAUCUUUCUCCAUCUCUGGCCAGAAAUAGCCAUAUUCCUAAGUAGCCACCUCAUAUUGGUUCCCGCCUGAUGUGCUUCAUAGAUCCCUUCAUGUACUUUGGCCAUUACCCUCAUUGAUUCUUCCUAGCCUAAGCAUUUCAACAUUAGUCCAUCUGGAGUCUUUCUUAGUAUAUUUCCCCCCACAAAAUGUACUUAGUUGCUUGUUGUCUAUUCUUCUUACUUGUGCAGAAUGAUGGAUCUUUUAAAUACUGAAUAAUAGGUGUUCUCCAAUCUCUAACCUCCACCUCUUCAAUCAUUACAUCUAGGUUGAAUCCCCUUUCAAAGAUAAAAGGGAGAUUUCUUUUCUGAACCUCUAUGUCCCCUUUAUACUUUCUUUCUUGGAUCAACGCUCCAGAAGCCAAUUGUGCCAUCUCAUUAGCAACUGCAUUCGAUCUUCUCGGGAUAUGGUUGACUGAUAUCUCAGUGCCCCAAUAGCUUAAUAGUUAUGUAGAUGCCAAAUAGUAACUUGCCAUGAUAAUGUGUCUGCACUUGUACUCUUCAUUUAGUUGAUUGAUCACCAACUCUGAAUCACCAAAUACUUCAACUUCAGUUGCCCCUAACUCUAUCAAGAUCUCCAGACCAAUUAUCAAUGCCUCGUAUUCUGCCCAGUUGUUAGUAGUCUCUUGAUAGUCUAGGAGGAAUGAAUAAAAAUGGUAAGCACCCUUAGGAUCAAUGAUAACAAUCCCGGCUCCUGCGACAGUUUGGGUGCAAGAACCAUCAAAAUACAGUUUCCAAUGAGUGAUCUAGAGACUAGCUAUUCUUUUUAUCUCUUGCCGGAUCCAUUUUUCUUUGCCCUAGAAGGUUUUGCUUGAUAGGAUCCACACACUGGCUACCUCAAGAGUUCCCAAGAUAUUGAUAAUCUCAUCUUGGGAUUCUUGGUGCUCAACCAAGAAGUUUGCAAUUGCUUGCCCCUUGAUCGCUCUAUGAGGCACAUACUGAAAGCUAAACUCUGAAAACACUAGAAUCCAUUUUCCAAUCCUCCCAGCUAUCAUUGGUUUUGACAGCAUAUAUUUGAUUACGUCAGUCCUAGCAAUAAUGUGGAUGUGGCAAGGUAACAUGUAAUGCCUUAGCUUGCAUGCCGUGAAGUAUAGAGCCAGGCACAACUUCUCCACUGGUGUAUAUCUUGUCUCUACUUCAGUAAGGAUUCCACUGAGGUAGUAGAUUGCUUGUUCUUUUUUGCCUUCAUUUUUCUAAGCCAACAAGCUUCCCAUUGAUUUCUCAGAAGCAGAAAUAUAAAGCUUUAAAAGUUUCCUCCUCUGAGGUGGCAUGAUCACUGAUGGAGAGGCCAAGUAAGCCUUUAUACUGUCGAAAGCCUCUUGAUGUGGUGGGCCCUACUCAAAUUCUUCUUUGUUUUUCAAUUUUAGCAAAGGAGUUAGCGGCUGAAUCUUGCCCACCAACUUAGCGAUGAAUCUCCUUAAGAAGUUGAUUUUUCCUAGUAGCCUCUGUAAUUGUACUUUAUUGGUGGGAGGAGGUGAUUCUAUGAUUGCCCGAGCUUUUUCUUGUCAACCUCCACACCUCUUUGAUGAACAAGGAAUCCCAAGAAGUUGCAAGACCUUACUCUAAAAGCACAUUUCUUUGGAUUCAUUUUUAGCUUAUGGAUUCAGUCUUAGACUUUACCAUGAUGUUAGCAAUGUACACUUCCAUGGUAUGGCUAAUCAAGUCAUGAAAAAUGGCAUUCAUUGCUCUUUGAUAGGUCGCUUCAGCAUUUUUUAGCCCAAAUGGCAUCACUACAUAUUCAUAUGCUCCAACAUGAUCUGGGCAUCUGAAAGCUAUUUUGUGUAUAUCUUCUUUAGUCAUUUUUAUCUAAUUAUAACCGGCAUUUCCUUUCAUGAAAGAUAAGACUUUGUGUUUGGCAACUGCAUUUAUGAAUAAGUCAGCCAUAGGCAUUGGAUAUUCAUCUUUAGGCGUGGCUCCAUUAAUGUUCCUAUAGUCAACACAACAUCGAAUCGCCUUAGUUAUAGCUUUUAAUACAAGUACAAUGUUGGCCAAUCACUCGACAUAUUUGGCAGGCCUAAUAAAUCCAGCCUUUACUAGCCUUUCAAUCUCUUCCUUGACCUUUUCCUCGAUCUUCUUUGACAUUCUCCGUGGUGCUUGCUUGACAGGUUUAUACCCCUCCUUAAUAGGCAUUCUAUGUUCUACUAAGGUUGAAUCUAAACCUGGCAUUUCAAUGUAAUGCCAAGCAAAACAGUCUUUGAACUCAUGCAGAAAGCUAACUACAUUUGCCCGAUCCUCCGUUUCUAAUAAGCCACUGAUCUGGAUAGGCCUUGGAUCUUCCUUAGUUCCCAAAUCAAUGGUCUCCAAUGGGUCUUUUACUUCUGAUUAUGGCUUGUUAGGCUCUGCGCACAAGAAUUCAACUAACUUUGGACUCUCGGGCAAGUCUUCUGGCCCGUCCAGGUCAUAUAUACAUUCAGCUAUUUGUAUGGCCGCUUCCAACUCCUUUCCAAAAAACUCUUAUCCGCUCUGGCUGCUUGAGGCUUCCUCCUGGUGCUUCUUGGCCAAGCUCUCCCUUUCUUGCUUUCUCUCUCUUCCAUACACCAACAGUCUUUUGAUUAAGAACCUGACUGCAACUACUUGAUCCUUUUUUCUUUGUUUUAACAUUACUGGUGUUGGGGAGUUGGGACAAUAUAAGGUCGGUCCCAUUCUUCCCUUGUAAGGAACAACCCCUGUUCCAAAAGCUUUUGGGCUGUCACUUUAGUCGGGCGGCCGUUCUUAUCAGCUCCUAAGCACUGGAGAAUCCCAAUGCUAGGAUUGUAAAAAUUGGCUUCUGCCACAUUGGCAGUGGGAAGGAAUGGCUGUGACUCGGCCUCCACCAUUUCCCAAAAUCCAGGUCUCAUAUCUCAUUCUUCGUGGUAAACUGCCACUUGUUGAUGCAUGGUGAAUGGCACUGAGAAACUUUGAUAAAUCCAAUCUCGACCCAAUAAAGCUCCAUAUGUGGAAGUACUAUCCACAACGAAGAAAGCUAACAUGAUCUGCUUGAAACCUAAGUCAACCUCAAAAGGCAAUAUCUCAUGAGUUUUGGUGAUGGCUCUAGAGAAACUGGAAACAGUUAAGUCCAUAGGGAUGAGAUCUUCCUUACUUCUACAUGCCCUCUUCAUCUGCUUGAAAAGCAACACAUUGACUGUGACUCCUCCAUCAAUCAAAACCCUUUUGAAGGGCACUCCCUCCAGAUAAGCAGUUACAUAAAUGGGCUUGAGAUGGUUGGCCAAUCUCCAAGGUUUAUGAGGCAGCGGGGACUUUUAACGAGUUCAUGUGGGUUUUAUAUUGCCUCUAGACUCUCCUAAUCAUAGAGGCUCCCAUUUCUUUAACAGGCUUCUUAUCAUUUCCGACCACAUAUCAUUUUCGCCCAAGUUGGGCAGGUUUCUUCAUUGUGACUGGAUUCAACAUUCUCCCCUUAACUCUGACAUCUCCACCAGCAUAGCUUGGUUGGGGUGGCCUCACAUCCACCCAUCUUGGCACAUUGACCUCUUUGUCCUUCACCUCUUCAGAAGCUUAGUAAUUUCUGAACACUUUAGAAAAAUCCUUUGGUUAGGAGUCUCAUCCUAACCUUUGGAAAACAUUUCUAGAAGUCUCUUUCUCAGCUGACUGCAUGACAUUUCUACGGGCUUCCUGCUUUUCUUUCUCUUUUCUCUUGAUCAGCUCCUGAUCAAUAAUGGCUCCUGACGCUGAGACUUCCAGCUCACACUCACAUUGGCAUCUACUGCACAAUACCACUCCUUUGAUUAUGGUCGCUUUGGGUUUCUCGGGCACCUUUAUGGCUCAUUCAGUUGGCCUAUCAGCUUGCCUCCGUUCUGCUUUCACAUCCCAGGUAGCUUUUCUUUUCCCAUUCUCAGCCCAUGUAAGGUUGAUCAUGUUUAUUGGGACAUCUAGGAAGGGGUUAGUGUCAAUCAUUAUGUUGGCCUACCGUUUAUCCAAUAACAACUUUCCCUUUGCUAUAAGGUCUUGUAUCCAAUCCCUGAACUGGACACAUUUGGUUAUGGAGUGAUUGAAAGUGUAAUGCAACUUGCAAUACUUUUUCUCUCUCAGCUCUUCAGGCUUGGGCAGCUUUUUGGCCCUGUCGGGCACGAUCACCCUUGCUCCAACCAACUCCUCAUAGUUGGUUAAGUCAAAGGAAUAACUCUGGUACUUGGGGGAUUCAUAGGGACAAAUCCACCAUCGUUUAUGACUACUUUCUGGUCCUUCACUAGCUCGACUAACCCUUUUACAGUCAAAGGUUUGAAGGAGGCAGUCAUCUCCGUCGCGCACACAUCCAUUCUCUCUCCUUCAUGGCCAUUAUUUUCUUCUGGUUCUCCUUCAAACUCCACUUGGUGAAUAAUAGCUUUGCUUUUAUAGAAAUAAGGCACAUUAGACAAAUGAUUUACUUAUUGUUCCUCCACCAACAACUUCUCAUACUUGGUGACCACAAUUACCAACUUCUGCAGCUCAUUGAACUGCAUGUCAUAAAACUUCUUCCUUAAAGGUAAUCUCAACGCCUUCUGAGCGAUGGAUAUGAGUUGUGCAUGAUUUAUAUGGAAUUGGCACCUCAUCCUCGUCCUUUUGAACCUCAUCAUGAAGUUUUUUGUAGACUCAUGCUCGUACUGCUUCACCUCCACAAGGUCAUUGAUAGACAUUUCGGGCUCGACCCUAUAAAACUGCUCAUGGAAGGCCAUCUCCAUUUUCCCCAAUUGGCGAUAGAAUUAUGGGGCAACAAAGAAUACUACUGAGAUGCUAAACCCAUCAAGGAGUUCCCAAACAAUCUCAGCUUGUAGUUGGGAUUGUCUUCGAAUGCUACACAGUGAUUAGAGAACUUGAAAAUGCGAUCUCUGGAAAACACAUUACCAUCUUCUCCGCUCAAUGUUGGGAAUACAGGUAUCUUGAAGUUGACUGGAAAAAGGGUUAUGCUCGUCAACGUACAGGAUAGGGCUUCUGAUAAGUGAUCCUAAACAGCGGGUGAGUUUGUGGUUGAGCAUUCCGGGCCACCAUCCUCCUUAACUCGGCUAACUCAUCUCUGAGAUGUUGGUGAGCUGUAUUAUCAGGAAGAGUAUGAGGGGGUUCCCAUUUUGGGCUAUGAUCAUUUCCCGAGAAAAGCUCUUUUCUUGGAUCGGGCUUCCCCCUCCCUUACUGGCCAAUGAUGGGGGCCUAUAAGGAAGAGGUUUAUCUGGUUUAGUAGGCCCGCAUUUUCCACUGGAUUCCCCGAUCAACUGGGGCAUCCCAUACUUCGUUCUUUCUUGACCGCCCUGCCCCCUAUUAUUAAGUGGAAAUAGUGAGGGGUCUGGCAACUCUGCUUCUAAAAUUUCUUCCAACAUUGGCCCACUGGUGCCAUAUUCUUCCUUGUUUUUAUCCUUACCAUUCUUAUCCUCGAGUAAAGGAAAGAAUGGAAUAACUGGUUCUUAUUCGGGGCUUGCUCUCCUCACAUAACCAUUUUUUGGAGUAGAAUACUUUAGAUCUAGUUGUCUCUGCAAACUCCCUAUUAAAGAACAAAGUAUGCUGACUUCUCCCCUGGUUUCUAGGGAAAUAUUCUCCAUACCCCUUAACAUUUACACCAUGGUGGCUUGCAAGUCUUCAUUGGUUACCAUUCCCCCCGACAUCUCAGAUGAGGUCAGGUUUCCCAAAACAGCUGGUCCUUGUAAGGAGGAAACGUUCUCUGUGCGGUCUGCCAUGUUUGAUUUUGGUAAAGACUGGGGUAGCCUGUACUCUGUGUUCCACUUGAAGGUUUUCUCCUUCCUUAUUCUUCUUGGCAUACAAUACUAAUGUGAUCCUACCAGGCAUGCCAAAACUAUGUUCGGGCGAAGAUUUCUCCAGAGAGGGCUCAUCGGCUCUCAACACAACUCCCUAAGAGAUUGACACUUUGGAUGUAUAGUCGGGCUUUUGCUUGCUGAUGUGCUGCAAGAAGAUGAUAGAGUUAGUUUUGAAAUGUGCCUUUGUAGGGCCUUAGGUGUAGGCCUUGAGGCUCGCAAUCAAAACUAACUGAGUGCUAGGCGUGCCACUACUAUCUCAGUAUAGCAUAUGUAGAAUAAGUGUAUUUAGUCGAUUACUUACGUCCCAAGUUACUCGGACUUCUUGUUAUCAAAGGAUUGUCGUGGAUGGGUUAAGUCCACAUUAAGUUCUUUUUCUUACCUUGUGACCAAGGACUUUCAGUUCAUAGUCUUGUAUGUUCGAGUAAGGGGAGUCCAGAUCCCCUUAAGUCAUCUACUCGGUUCUUGAUUGGUUUUAAAUGAAGGCAUAUUCUUUAAGGUGAUCAGAUCCGGGCACAAAUGAGACUCUUAAAGUAGGAAAACAUAUAGAUAUAACUUGAAUACAUACUAUAGAAUACAUUAAGCAGUAGAUCUAUUAACUUAUAAAACAAAAAAAGAGAUUUGAGCAAGAUUUCACCUUGUCGGGCGAGGUUGAACUUCUUGCAAUCACUUCUCUUUUGAGUUUACAGGGUUUAUAUGCUAAGAAGGGAUGAAUGGUAAACAAGUUUACACAAGAGAAUCGAUACUAUGCCACUAGGGGUGAUAGCAGAGCUUCUAAACUAGACAAAAGAUGGCUUUUGUGGGGGAUGAUCCUGAAAAGGAUUGAGAUCUGGGCUGAUUACAGCUUUUAGAUGCAAAUCUGGCUUGAGAGCAGAGUUUGUAUGUUUGUUUGUUUGAUUAGUUGAGUGUCCUUGUCUUUGGGCCCUCUUCCUCCUUUUAUAGGCAGAUUAGCCCGACUACAGUAGCUUUACUCUUGCCCGAAAGCUAUUGAAGAAUAGUGAGUCAUCAACUUUUUACUUGUAUUGCCACCGAAAAGUGUUUUUUGGCUGAUUGUGAGUUAGUCCCCAUCACUUGAUACUUAAAUCAUAGGCACGUGGCCUAUGCAUUAAUGGGAAGGCACCAACUUGUCUCUGGGCCUGGUACUAGGCUUCGGGUACGUCUUCCUUUAAUUGGUAUUAUUGGGCUUCCUCAUACUUGCAGCCCAAAGUUCAAAUAUUAACCCAAACACACUUAUUGAAUUCUAAUACACCUAAAGAACUUUUAAUUAACCCAUCUAAUAAUUUUUUCUUGCUAAAAUCAACUUUCCCUAUCUUUUGGACGAAUUCGAUGCAAAACACCCAUGAAAUCCCCCCCCCCCCAAGGAGCUAGCUCCUAAGAGGCGGGGGGAGGGGGGAAUACUAAAGCCGUCAUUUCCUCUCACGCUUGAGUGCCGUCUAUUACUACCAUGAAUUGAUGGUUUUUUUAUUUUUUAUUUUUUUCAAUUGUUUAUAUAAAAACUUUUGACAUAUAGCUAAAAAUACAUGUAAAUAAAUUCAAUUGCCAUUAAAUAUAAAAACCCAUAAGUCAACCAAUAAGCAUGUGAAGAUGACGAACCCUAAACUUUGAAAUUACAAAUUCAAAACCCACCUUUAUUUCCAGUAGUCUAUGGCCAUGAGGAAUUCAAUGCUUUUCUUUUUUUCUCUCACCCAAUACCUUUUAUUUCCUUUUCAGUUAAUACAAUUUUUGAUAUUAUCUCAAAUUAAAAAUUAAAAGAAAAUUAUGCUAGUAUCCAGUUGGGAUUUGGGAUUUUGCUGCUUUUCUCUCAAGGGUUCUAAUUCCAAACUUUAGCUUCAAGGCUUUCGCGUUAUUUAAGAAAGGACUUUUUACUUUUUUCUUUUUCUUUUAACAAACGAUUUAUCUCCAUUAAGGGUGUAGCGGAGAGAGCUAAGUUCCGUAAUAGGUUAGCCAUAAUAAUGUAGUUCAAAUUCGUUUUUGAUGAGAAUCAAACCUAAGACCUCUUACUUACAAGUGAAGUGGAAUACCACUAGACUGUAGUAUUAAGUGGCUAUUUAAGAGAUGACUUAUAUACUUUAGCUAAAACCUUUGUUAGUUUUCCCUAUAUAAAAUAGGUUUUUUUAUAGCCAAAAUGGUCUCUAAGAUAUGCAUAACUCCUCACUUUGGUCCCUAAGAUUUGAAAUCAAUAGAAGUGGUCCUUAAGAUUGUCCACCAUCAAUCAUUUUAGUCUUUCCGCGAAAAAUUAUGUUAAAUAAGGAUCAAAAUGACAAAAAUACCCUCAAUUUAACAAACAAUAGGACAAAAUGAUUUGACAAAAAAUUGAGGGUAUUUUUGUCAUUUGUUCUUAUUUAAUGGAGAUUUUUCAUGGAAUAACCAAAAUGAUUGAUGAUGGACAAUCUUAGGGAUCACUUCUAUUGAUUUCAAAUCUCAAGGACCAAAGUGAGGAGUUAUGCAAAUCUCGGAGACUGUUUUGGCUAAAAAGCCUAUAAAAUAUGAUGAGAUUUUAAUUUUUAAAAGAAGGAAGAAAACAUCUUAUUUCUUCAUGGCCUAAGAUCUUUCAGUUCCUUUGUUUGUCUUGUGGUGAUAAUAAAAGGAGGAAGAAGUAGAUUUAAGAGUCAUGUUCAUGACAAUUUCAUUAAAAUAAAAACAAAACCUUUUCUUAAAAAAAAAAAAAAAAAGAGAGAGCUAAUUAAUAGCCUUGUGUUUGUAUAAACUCAUGAUGAUUCAGGACUUAUAAGCCAGGUCUGCUUUGUAUGGUACUGUCAUGGUAUCGAAUAUGUUGUAACUGCACAGAUGCAAAGCUUGCUUUGGUUUGAGUUUGUUGAGUUCUAUCUGUAGCUUGGUGAGGUGUGUUGGCAAUGGCUUACACAACGUGAACCAUGCAAGUGCAGAUGGAAAACCUGGUAAUAUGGUUUACUUGUUUAGGGUUUCACAAAGUAUAAAGGUGAAUCGUUAUAUAGGCAGUUCUUCCCUGAAUCUUUAGAAGCAUAAUAUCAUCGGGCAUCCAUUCUUUGUCAGCUAUGUAGGUACAUUGUAAAUAAUUACCAUUCUAACGGAAUAAUUUUUGUUUCGUUGAAGACUACUUUAGCAUAUGUCAUUUUCUCUAUUUAAAGUUUUGGAGAAUAUUAGAGUGUUACCUGGCAAUUAUUGAAUGUAUCAAAUUUAUGGAAAAAAAAACUUGCAUAAAUCGAUUUAUACAUUGAGGUUUUAAAACUUCAAAAUCAUCAUCCAUUGGUAAAAAAGAGAUUGUUUUUCUCUAUUAAGUGUGGGUUUAUUGAUAAACUUUAGUUUUAAUGUUAAUUUCAUCUUAUACUUGAUGGUAAUUAUGCGAUAGGUAAAAAGACAAUUUCCAUUUACAAUUUAAGUUAGGUGUAGAGAGAGGUUAUGUGGGUUCAAAUAAAAUUUUUCAAUUGUUCUUAGCACUCCAAAAAUCUCAUUUGACAUUCCAAACUUUUUAAAAUUAAAAAGAAAAAACAUUUCCCUUUUUUAAUUCAACAAUGAAAAUUAACUGUGUUAGAUAUGAAGUUAAAUUGAGGGACUGGUGUUAAAAAUUAGAAAGGGGACACAAAAAAAAAAAAAACACGAAAUAGGCCCGUGGCCUAUCUAUUGAAUCUGGCUUCAAGUUUUUGUCUCUAAGUUCUAAUGUUGUUCAAUUACUCCAAUUUCAUGAGAGCCACAAGUGAGAGGUGAACUUAUCUUCACCAUUUUUCAGUUGAGGUGAGGAUUGUGUGACUUGUCUUACAAUUUUUUUAUUUUUUAUUUUUCAUAUACCAACGACACCACAACUACAAGGCGGCUGCUUCAUCUCUCUCUCAUGGAUACGUCGGCAGCCGAUGACCACUCCGACGAACCCUUGACCCCAGUAGGUCGGCUCCUUCUCCAACCCGAAAUGAACCAAAUAAUCCACUGUGCCAUGGGAUUCAAAAACUCCAUAGACAUUGACGCCGUAAAGUCUCACCUCAAAACCUCCCUUCUCCUCUCCCACCCAAGAUUCUCAAGCCUCAUGCUCCGCGACUCCCGCGGCCUCCAGCACUGGCACAAUGCCCCCUACGUUGACCUCGACCGCCACAUCAUUGUCAUCCAGAACCCCGUCACCACAUCUCCCGUCGAUCACGAGACCGCAGUUAACGAAUACUUGGCCGACCUCUCCACAAGCUCUACUAGACUGAGCGCGAACAAACCCCUCUGGGAACUUCACCUCCUCAUGGCCCACAACUGCGGCGUCUUCCGAAUCCACCACGCAUUGGGAGACGGGGUUUCGGUCAUGUCCCUAUUCUUGGAGAGUUUCAGGACGAGAGGCUCAGAUGGAAAUGAAGAAAAGAUUUUGGGUCGUGGAAGGAGGAAGAGAGUGAAUGGUGAAAAGGGAUGGUGGGGUUUGUUGAUUGGGUAUGUGGGGACGUUGUGGUUUAGCUUGGUGUUUUUGGUGGAGCAUGCGAUGAGGAGCUUGUGGCUUUGUGACCAGAAAACAGCGAUAAGUGGCGGCGAGGGAGUUGAGCUCUGGCCUAGGAAGCUGGCCACGGCUAGGUUUCGGCUUCAGGACAUGAAGCUCGUCAAGAAAGCUGUUCCGAAUGCGGUAAGUGACUUAUUAAUUCUUCUGUGUUUAUUGGUUUGUUUCAGAAAUAGAAUAAUGUAUAUUAUACUUGUUCAUAGCUUGAACCUUCAAGAUUCAAAUUGACGCAUGACAUACAACAUAAAUACCAACUAAUUAUAUGGGGUAAAAAUCUCCUAAUCUGUGUCAAAUAUUUUCAGAAAUCUUUUUCCCUGUAAAAAACCCCUAAUUGGAUUAGUUUUAAUUGAAGAGAAAAUUUUCAGCAUGUUGGGAACAUAGUCUGAUAUAUCAAGUGUCAUAAUCAGUGGCGGAGCCAGAAAUUCUGUUAAGGAGAAUCAAUCUUAAGUGACUAUAAAAUUAUGAUUAAUUGAGCUUAUAAGUGAAAAUUACUUAAGAAAUGAUCAUGAGUAUGAACUUAUUUAGCAUAAAAAAAAUGUUUUAAGUUUCCAACAUUGAUAUCAUGAUUUAAUUAAUUACAUUAUAACAGAUGAUGCUUUAUAACAAUGGCGGAAAACAAUCAUGCAUAUACACCUUGGUGCGAAUUCGAAUAAAAAUAAUUGGACUCAAUUAUGAGCAAAUUGCAUUUGUGAGGAGCGUCAACUAUAAAUAUAAAAGCCAAGCUACAUCAUUAUAGCACAUAUAAAUACAACAUUUCCGGAUCGUGAGAAGAGUCAUAUGACCCUCCUAGGCUUUAACUGGCUCUGCCAAUAGUCAUAAUACAAGCGACUGGAAUUUUUUUUUAAGUAUCCAAUCACUUGCAUUUUGACACUUGAUGUACCGGAUCGUAUUCAUGGUACAUUGAAAAAUCUCUUCUAACUAAACAGCAAACAAUCAACCUCAUUGAAUUUUGGGUUUUACUGAAAUCAUCAUUACGUUUUCUUUUGAUUUUUUUUCUUUUCUGUUUGGGCGUGCUAUCCACACACCCAUUUUAACAUCUUACACACCCUUGUUAGUUUAUAUUUAAUCUUCUUCAAUUCAUUCGAUUAGACAACCAAAAGUUGAGAACAUUGUAUAUGAGGUAAAAAGGAAUGUGUGAAUAACACCACCCAAAUAUUUAAGAAAAGGGCAAAAUUUCUUUUGAUUCAUUCAAUUGUUUUCUUUUCAUAAAAAAAUUUAAUUAAAUGCAUAAGUAACUAUGGUUUGUUAAAUAGAUAUGUGACAUGAUUCUUGAGGGAGAUGGAGGUAACUGUGACCUUGAGUUAGGGGGUUGAGGGGGGUGGGGUAACUGUCACCUUGAGUUAGCGGGUUGAGCGAAAAUAGACUCGAUAGAGUUUGAGUUCGAGUUGAGAAGCACUUCAAAUAUAAUACUAAAAGACGAGAGCUGGCUUGAAAAGCACUUCAAAUGAGCUCUGGUUUUUUGAGACCCUAAUGUCAACCCAGCAAAGAGAUUGAAUACAACUUAAAAUAUAGACAAUCAAGUCGAAAGUUUUAUACACGUCUAAAGUUGAACAUUUUUCCCUUUUAUUUUAGAAAGGAAAAAACAGAAGGUUUGGACUUUGUAUAUGUGAAGAAAUGAAACAUUUACAUAUUUGGCAUUUGCAUAUUUGGUUGUAUCUCUUCGAUGAUUAAAGGGAAAAAAAAAUAUUAGAUGGUAGUUUAACAUUGUCAUGUGACAUAAUUCGUUCAUUUUAUUGGUCAGAAUAAAGUUUAUUUUUUCUAAAAAAGGUUUCUUAACUAAUAAGGAAUUCUCACAGGGUUUUGACUACAAACUUUAUGGGCUAUAAGUUAUGAUUUUAGUCCCCGUAUUUGUGGCAAAAUAAUUACAUUUUGGCUCCUAUAGUUUCAAUUUUUAUGACCUAAUCUUGUAUUUUACUAAUUGUUACAUUUAAGACAAUAACUUAUGAAAAAAAUUUGAUUUACACCCUCAACUUUUGUCGUCCUGUACUCUUUUUGCUAUGUUUAUGUCCCUUGAUUUAUUUUUGAUUUAUUCAAUCUUGUGGCUAAAAACAAAAGCAAGAAUACAUGAUAAGUGAGAGUUUGAAAAUUAUUUCCAAACUUAAUUCCAUCAUGUUUUCGUUGAAAAUGUGUUAUGUCACCCGCAAGGUAAUUAUGACGAAAAAGUUGAGAUGAAAUUAAAUUGUCUUUGAAUUACAACCAUUAAUAAAUUGUAAAGAUUGAAUAGAGACAACCACAUCAAGUGGUCCAAUGGUAAGGGCAUAGGCUUGACGUCCUAAUAAACAAAAAAUAUGAGAGGUUCUGUGCUUGAUGCUCCAAGUUGGUGAGACUAUUUGACCCUGGUCACGAGCAAGGUGAAAUUCUUUAUAGCCUUUCUGAAUUCAGAAGUGAUGGAUAACCAUGGUUUGCCAUUAGUUGUUCUUCUUUUUACAAAAGAAAGAAAUAGAGACAAUUGAAACUACAUUGACCGAAAUGGAACUUCACUCAACCACUAAAAGCAUGAUUUGGCUAUCACGCAGACCAUCAACGAUGUUCUUGUUGGCGUGGUUUCGUCAGGGCUGUCAAGGUACCUAGAUCACCAAACACCAAAUGGUAAUUAAUGUCAUUCUUGAAUCUGUUCUAGUGCUUGUGCUUCCCAUUUGAAAUAGAUCAAGUAUCAAUGGCAAUCACGAUAACCAAGUUAUAGCUAAACUUAAUUGUCCAGCUCUGCAUGACGGAAUUCGAAUUACAGGCCUAGCUAUGGUCAAUUUAAGAAAGCAACCUGGAUUGCAGGUUCGUCGUGAUUUAUAAACUUUCAUUUAUAUUAUAGGGUAAAAGAUUGUUUACUACCUCAUGUUUCGUGGUUUUCAACAUUUAGUACAUCAAGUUUUUUUCAUCUCAGAUUCAUAUCUAAAGUGUAAAUUUUGGGACAGUCUCAUACAUCCGUUAGUCAAACUGUUAAAUCUUUCGUUAAUUGUGACGUGGCGCUCAUGUGAACAAUGAUUGGGCGCCAUGUGUCAUCCACGUUUUUUUUCUCUUCUUCUUCUUCUCCUUCCUCCGAAUCUGGGGAAGUUUUUUUUUUCUUCUUCUUCUUCCUCCUUCCUUCCUCAUCUUCUUCUUCUUCCUCCUCCCCGAAUUUGGACCUUUUUUUUUUUUUCUUCUUUCUCCUUCUUCCUCUGACUGCAACUUUUUUUUUCUUCCUCCUUCUCCUUCUUCCUGAAGAAGAAGAAGAAGAAGAAGAGAAGAAAUUUAUAAAAAAAAAGUUGCAGUCGGAGGAAGAAGGAGAAGGAGGAAGAAAUAAAAAAUAAAAAAUAAAAGUUGUAGGAAGAAGAAGGAGGAAGAAGAAGUGGAUGACAUGUGACGCCCAGUCAUUGUCUACAUGGGCGUCACGUCACAAUUAACGGUAGAUUUAACAGUUUGACUAACGGAUGUAUGAGACUGUCCCAAAAUUUACACUUUUGGUAUGAAUCUGAGACGAAAAAAACUUGAUGUAUUAAAUGUUGAAAAUCACGAAACAUGAGGAUAGUAAAUAGUCUUUUACCCUAUAUUAUAUAUAAUUGGUUGUUUUAAGAACUUCUAUAUGGUUCUUGCUAUAUUUUUUCUUUCUAAUUUUUCAGGCGAAUCCUAACUUACUGAUGCAUAACUGAGUUUUGGUAUAUAUUUUCAGGAGGCCUACUCACAAUUUUCCCAAAACUAACAAAUUAAUAAGCAUACGAAACACAAGAAAAUUAAUUGCAUAAACGGCACCUGGACCUUUUUAACUUUCAUACAAUUACCACGUAAACUAACCACUCCGAUUCAAACAAGUUUCAUCCGCAAUUCUGCCAUAUGUGAUCGCGUGACUUGCACGAUGAUUCCUUUUUCUUAGUUCAGAGUUCAACCACCAGCUUCGUCCAAACAAACUAAUUUUUAGAUACACAUAUCCCAGAGUUGAAACUUGAAAGCAUAGGGAAAUGUUAGGUUAGGCUUAUGAGAUGCUGCAGUAAGAUUUUGAUAGUCAGUGAGAUGCAUGUUAGGUUAGGUUUGUGCUUGUUGAUGAGUUUGCAGGAAGUGGUCCGGAAUGGCUGAGGUUUAUUUGGGGGGGGGGGGGGGGGAAUAGCUUAAUUCCCGCGCAUAUGUUCUAGCAUGCAAGUCUCUUGAUCAUAUUUGACGGAAUUGUACACGGAAAAUUAUUAGAUGAAGGUUCAAUAUUAUUAUCAAAUGAUUUUAAGUAUGUUAGUUGUAUCUACAACAGCUACAAACCCGUAGUACAGAAGUUACUUUGUAUCUAUAAUUAAUUAAGACGAGAAGACUUAGCAUAAAACAAACCACCACGACCAAAUGAAACAAGGAACUCCCCCAGAAAAAUAAAUACAACAACAACAACAACAAAGCCUUUUCCCACUAAGUGGGGUCGGCUAUAUGAAUCCUAGAACGCCAUUGCGCUCGGUUUUGUGUCAUGUCCUCCGUUAGAUCCAAGUACUCAAGUCUUUUCUUAGGGUCUCUUCCAAAGUUUUCCUAGGUCUUCCUCUACCCCUUCGGCCCUGAACCUCUGUCCCGUAGUCACAUUUUCGAACCGGAGCGUCAGUAGGCCUUCUUUGCACAUGUCCAAACCACCGGAACCAAUUUUCUCUCAUAUUUCCUUCAAUUUUGGCUACUCCUACUUUACCUCGGAUAUCCUCAUUCCCAAUCUUAUCCUUUCUCGUGUGCCCAUACAUCCCACGAAGCAUCCUCAUCUCUGCUACACCCAUUUUGUGUACGUGUUGAUGCUUCACCGCCCAACAUUCUGUGCCAUACAACAUCGCUGGCCUUAUUGCCGUCCUAUAAAAUUUUCCCUUGAGCUUAAGUGGCCUACGACAGUCACACAACACGCCGGAUGAACUCUUACACUUCAUCCAUCCAGCUUGUAUUCUAUGGUUGAGAUAUCCAUCUAAUUCUCCAUUCUCUUGCAAGAUAGAUCCUAGGUAGCGAAAACGGUCACUUUUUGUGAUCUUCGCUAGAUUGCUCCGGUUAUUAGUGUGGAUAAGUAUAUAAAUGGAUAGAGAUGGGAAAGCAAACACAAGAUGUACGUGGUUCACCCAGAUUGGCUACGUUCACGGAAUAGAGGAGUUCUCAUUAAUUGUGAAGGGUUUACACAAGUACAUAGGUUCAAGCUCUCCUUUAGUGAGUACAAGUGAAUGAUUUAGUACAAAUGACAUUAGGAAAUAUUGUGGGAGAAUGAUCUCGUAACCACGAAACUUCUAAGUACCGGAGUGUGGUAUCGUCUUGACUUGCCUUAUCUGUCUCAUAGGUAGAUGUGGCAUCUUCUCUGGAAGUACUCUUCCUCCCUCUAGGGGUGGUAUCUGUAACUGGUGGAGAUGCACAAGGUAAUGUAUCAAUUUCACUUGAAGCUUACUUGUAGUUUCAGGCUUGGUCAAACGCGAUACAAACCAUGUAGUAGGAGUCCCCCAAGUCGCCGAGCUAGGGGAUUUGCUGAAAGAGGUGACAGACAAGGUAAGCAAUCAGAGCUUCGGCUGAUUGUUCACAUUCUCCCUAUCUUGCAGGCAGCAUGAAGGAUAAAGAGAAGAAAAAUGAGAAGAGAUGAUAUGGGAUACUUUUGCUUUUGAAGAAGUAACUUUCCAUAGGCUUAUUCUUGAACUGGGCUGGAGGGUUUUCUGGUUUCCUCAAGAGUAUAAGGCCGACUGAAGAAUUUGAGGGUCAAAACAAGUCCAGCAAAUCUAGAGUACGUUCGACCCUGCUGAUAUGAGAUACUUUUGCUUUUGACAGAGUAGUGGAUGUAUCGGCACGUGUGCUGUUACGCUUGUCUCCACAUGCUUCAUUGUAUCCUUCUCACUUGCCCUAUCUGUUUCUCAGGCAGAUGCGGUAUCUUCCCUGGAAGCAUAAGAUGUUGAAGAUGAGUACUCGAGAGCAAUGCCAGGUAAGUAAUCAGGUAAGGGGUUCCAGGCAGUCAGUUCCUGGCUGGAAGCUUGAUUCCAAGUGCUGACUGAUUGCUCUCUUUCUCCCUGUCUUGCAGGUAAGAACAAGGCCAAAGGAAAAGACAGGGAAAAAGCAUGAUAUGGGAUACUCUUGCUUUUAACCCUGAUGAUAUGAGAUAUUCUUGCUCUAGUAUAGCUUGUUUACAGAGGUAUUAUCGGGGGGAAAGAAAGCUGAAUAUUUCGAAAGGCUUCGUUAAGAGUGCCUUCUCAGAUAAGAGGAAGGGUUGAGCAUUUUUGCAGGUCUGCCUGUCCGUUGGGGAUGGAGGUCGACAUAUAUAGGAGUCUCCCUAACAUCAAGUAAUAAUGCUAUUCCUUUACCCUGCUUGGUCAUAGCACGGUAGUGGGAGCUGCCAGCUUCACAUGUUUUAACUCUGUCAGAGCACUUUGAAAAAGUGGUCUGUGGUAUCUGGAAAGUUGAUGUUGCGUGUGAAGAUUACAGACAAGCUUUAUCCAAGGAGAUCCAGCUCUUGAAGUUGGGAAAGUGGUGCCUCUUCGGUUUUCGAACAAGCAAUCUUGUCGGGGAUCUGGCUCUCAAGAUUCGAAGAACGAUGCCUCUUCGAUUUUUGAGAAAGCAAUCCUGCUAGGGGUCUGGCUCUCGAGAUUCGGAGAGCGGUGUCUCUUCGAUUUUUGAGAAAGUAAUCAUGUUGGGAGUCUGGCUCUCGAGAUUCGGAGGGCGGUGCCUCUUCGAUUUUGGAGCAAGCAAUCUUGUCGGGAGUGUUUUCUCGAAUGUGAGUAAAGGUUGGGCAUGUUUGCUAGUCUACCUUGCCACGAAGCACAGAGGUUGACACACAGGGACUCUCUAAUUAUCCAGCAGUGGUACUGUUCCUUUACCCUCUCUUCAAUUUUUGAGAAAGUAAUCAUGUUGGGAGUCUGGCUCUCGAGAUUCGGAGGGUGGUGCCUCUUCGAUUUUGGAGCAAGUAAUCUUGUCGGGAGUGUUUUCUCGAAUGUGAGUAAAGGUUGGGCAUGUUUGCUAGUCUACCUUGCCACGAAGCACAGAGGUUGACACACAGGGACUUUCCAAUUAUCCAGCAGUGGUACUGUUCCUUUACCCUCUCUUCGAUUUUUGAGAAAGUAAUCAUGUUGGGAGUCUGGCUCUCGAGAUUCGGAGGGCGGUGCCUCUUCGAUUUUGGAGCAAGCAAUCUUGUUGGGAGUGUUUUCUCGAAUGUGAGUAAAGGUUGGGCAUGUUUGCUAGUCUACCUUGCCACGAAGCACAGAGGUUGACAUACAGGGACUCUCUAAUUAUCCAGCAGUGGUACUGUUCCUUUACCCUCUCUUCAAUUUUUGAGAAAGUAAUCAUGUUGGGAGUCUGGCUCUCGAGAUUCGGAGGGUGGUGCCUCUUCGAUUUUGGAGCAAGCAAUCUUGUUGGGAGUGUUUUCUCGAAUGUGAGUAAAGGUUGGGCAUGUUUGCUAGUCUACCUUGCCACGAAGCACAGAGGUUGACACACCGGGACUUUCCAAUUAUCCAGCAGUGGUACUGUUCCUUUACCCUUGUGGGUAAUAAUAUGGUAGCUAAACCUUCAAAAUUUAUGUGUCUAAACUUUGUUAGUGUUGUUUCUUUGCUAUUCUUUUACCCUUCUUGGUCAGAGCGAUGUAGUGGGAGCUGCAAGCUUCACGUGUCUCAACUUUGUCAGAGAACUUUGGCAAAGUUAUCUGUGGUACCCAUGAGCUACUGUUGCGUGUGGGAAGUGGGUGAUUGAACAGUACGAUUCAUGUGCUUUCUACUUCGCCAGAAAUCUUCGACAGAAUGCCCAUAAUUUCCGCAAAGCUGAGUGUGCGUGUGACAGGUGCUGACAAGGCUGGAAAAAGUAGGUGCCUCUUCGAUUUCUGAGAUCGGCCCUCGUGGUCUCUGAGCAGCCCAGCUUUUGAGAAAGCAAGCCUCUUCGAUUUCUGAGAUCGGCCUUCGUGGUCUUUGAGCAGCCCAGCUUUUGAGAAAGCAAACGCCUCUUCGAUUUCUGAGAUCGACCCUCGUGGUCUCUGAGCAGCCCAGCUUUUGAGAAAGCAAACGCCUCUUCGAUUUCUGAGCAGGCGCCUUUUCGAUUUCUGAAGCUUCCGUCGAGUGCAGAUUUUUAUAGGGGCUGACAUUAAGUUCCAAAGCACACUUGAAGUAAGCCUCCAUUCUUGCACUUCUAAGAUCUUGAUUUGUCCGACCUCUUCUCUCUUCAACACCUUUGAAAAUGUCUGGCCCCUCCGACCGUCGUUUUGACUUGAACCUUGUUGAAGAGGCAGCCCCGCCUUCUCCAGACAACAUAUGGCG
rnacentral:lncRNA from 1 species